AACAAACUAGAUGACUGAGGCAGCGAGUUUGUUGAUACAUUUACCCUUCAUGGAAGGUUUUAGGAAUAAGUCCUUCACUGCAGGUGGUGUCCUGGAGAGGGACCUGAGGUAUCUAGGUUUGCUUGGGCAGAAUCGGGAUUUCUAGUAGCAUAUUCUCCACCUCCAGGGUGUCUGUGUCUACAGUCUUCAAGAAGGUGCUGGACAGGCAUCUAAAGUCAGUACUUGACCAGCUGGGUUGUGGUUCGUACGUUGGGUUGCGUGUAGCCAGCAGUUACAGCCUGGUUGAUCAGACCCUGAGCCACCACGAGGCCUUGUCACAGACCGGGCCGCGGGGGCAUUGACCCCUGAAACCCUCUCCAGGUAAACUCCAGGUAUACGUUACUUGCUAGGGUGAGUAUCACACAAGGAGGCUCCAUACACAAUUUCCACAGAUACAAUGCCCCAAGAUCUGGAAUUCAUUGCCCGAACCAGCAAAAGGUUCUCUGUCUGUCACUCGGUUUACAACUGUUAUUAAAAGUCCCCAUCUCUUAAAUAUAACUAUACAGAUCAUAGAACCAGUUUGAAACUACUCCAGGAAUCCCAGUUAACUUAACAUCAAUAAAUCAAUUUACAGUAUCAAUACACACUUAAAAUUGUACUAUUGUAAAUUGUGCUAAUUGUAAUAAUUUUUUUGCUACUUCUCAACUAUAAAUUUUAUUAAUUGAAAUUUUUUGAAUGCAUUAAAAUUCACCACUGUAAAACCUAUGUUUAGUUUUAAGUAGUGUGCAAACAUUAUAAUUAACCUGCCCGAAAUGCUCAUGCAUGCUGUGGCUGUGUUUAACAAUAGUUUAUUACAUGUAAACUACACACUGUAUACUAUGCUAAGAAAUAAAAAAAAUUAUUUUGAAAAUCAGAUGUUAUUACCAAGAUAGUGGACUGGUGUGGGUGGCAUCCUGGGGGACAAUAUAAACCUAAUUUGCCAGAAAUGCUUUGUAUAACCAGGGGCUUCCUAUAUAAUAUAUCAGUGAUGUCACAUAUGGUCUGUAUAAGUUGUAUCAUAAACUUGUAGAAAUAAAGAUUAUUAUUACUUAUCAAACAUAGGGAAGAAGUAGCAGCAGGAACAUGUAAGAAUAUUUCAGAAUAUUUGGUAAUGUCUCCAUGGGGAAGUGGAACAGAGUUCUUCCUCUGUAAGUCAUGAAUGUCAUAAGAGGCGACUAAAAUGCCAGGAGCAAGGAGCUGAUAACUCCUCCUCCUGUAUAUAAUACUAAAUUUAAAAAGAAAAACUUAAGUUUUUCUUUUUGAGCCACCCAGCCUCAGUGGGAUAUGGCUGGUUUGUUAAAAGAUGAUGAUGAUUUGGUAAUGUGGCUACUCAUUAUUUGACACAUUUCAUUAUGAUGGAUAGUGAAGGUGCUAGUUACUAUCUAUGAUGUUCUACUUAAUAUUCUCGUACAGUUUUAAUUUCCAUGGCAUGCUUUGCAUGGCACUAAAGUUUAAGGCGAGUUUGCAUUGCAUACAUGAGGCAGAUACAGCAGCUGAGAAGUGACCACCCCAACCUGCACUACCACACUGCUACAGUUAUCAUACAUAGUGUAAAUUACCCACCAUAAUCCCAAAAAAUCAGUGACUUAUUUCCAUUGUGGUCUUUGUUUUCCAUUCUAAUUGCCAGACAUAAUGAGGGCAAAUUCCUUGGCCUAUACCUCAACAACAACCUAAAUUUCAGCACCCAUAUCCAACACAUAACAAAAAAAGAAUCCAAACCGGUGGGGAUCCUCUCCAAGAUACGAUACUACGUGCCGCAAACUGCACUUCUCACACUAUACCAUUCACUUAUAUAUCCAUACCUCACCUAUGCUAUCUGUGCUUGGGGUUCAACUGCAUCAACACACCUAAAGCCAACAAACCCAACAAAAAGCCGCAGUAAGAAUAAUCGCUAAAUCCCAUCCCUGGCAACACACCCCCCCACUCUUCAUAGAUCUAAAUUUACUCCCUGUUCAGAACAUCCACACUUACUACUGUGCAAUCUAUAUCUACAGAACCUUAAAUUCCAGUAUUAACCUUGACCUAAAAUGCUUUCUUGAUAGUUGUGACAGGAUCCACAGGCAUAACACCAGACACAAAAAUCUCUAUGACAUUCCCUGUGUUCGACUAAACCUUUACAAAAAUUCAAUGUACAUAUUUCAAAGGACCUAAAAUCUGGAACACCCUACCUGAAAACUCUAGAACUGCAGACACACUCAUCACUUUCAAAACUACAGUUAGAAAACAUCUUAUCUCCCUGAUCCACCCUGACAACUAACUACAUGAUAACCACCUGGUGGUUCACAAUUACACUCACUCACCCACUGACUAUAAACCCAGAAAUACUAAUCUUAAUCUUAAAAUAAUAAUUCCUAACUUGUCAUAAGUUUGCCUAUGAUACUCUAAUAUAGUCACUUUGUAUUGUGCCAAAACAAAAACAUUCACAUUGCUAAACUCACAAAUUAUGAUGUAGUCACUUAGCCUUAAUACCAUAAUCUUUAAGGAUUUAAUGUUAAGAAUUAAUCUAAGUCUGCCCGAAAUGCCUAGCCAUGCUAGGUGUCCUAGUGGCCCCCUCUGUAAUUAGUAUUUUAUAAUAUGUAAACCACACAAUACCCAAAACCUGUAAACCCCACAUUGUAACCCUUAUAGAGAAUAAACUUGAAUUGAAUUGAAUUAGGAUCCUUGAUUCCCAUUCCCGGUGCAGAACUCGUACAAUUCGGAUUUCGAGCACUUUUGGCAAAAUUUCCCCCAGGUUUUGUAUGUCCGCUUGGAAAUCGUCUGUUUCAGACGUGUCUGCCUGGGCUGCUCAUGCAUUCAUGAUUCACUCUUGGGCACAUUAAAUGUCUUAUUUUACAUUAAUAUAGACAUUAUCGUUAAUCCAUCUAUUAUAGUAUUUUCUUCAAAAUUAUAUAAGAAACACAUUACAUAGCAUACAAACAUGCAGUACAGUGGACCCCCGCAUACCGUUGGCAUCACAUAACGUUAAAUCCUCAUACCGAUACAUUUUAUCGCUAAAAUUUUGCC